CUGGGGGCCGGACGCGGAGGGAUGGGGGGCAGCCGAGGGAGGCGGGCGCACCCCGGGGACCAGGAGGGGUCCGGGAUCCGGCGGGGGGCGGGGAGGAGGAGGGAGGCGGACGGGGGCGCGGGGUUCCGAGCAGAGGAGCCGAGGAGGGGCCUGCGCGGAGGAGGAGGAAGGCGAAGGGGGCGGCGGGGUGCGGGUAAAGAGGGGCGGAGAACAGGGGAGGGGCCGGGCGAUCAAGGACGCGGCUGGGCUGGGGUCGAGGCGCCAGGGCGCCGGCUGAGCUCUGGGGUUUAGCUCUGGCUGGGGCGGAGGAGGCUUCCUCUGGCCGCCGACCGUAGGGUCCCCAGGCCAGAGUGACCCGGGGGCGGGGAGCUCAGUAGCGCCUCCCUGGCCGGUCGUGGGGACAGGCGGGGUCCUCCCGGGGCGCAGAAAAUGCUACCCGGGCGGUCCUGUGGGUGCGGUGGGAGGGGCCUGGUUUUGGGGUGGGCGUGGACUAACCCGCCCCUCCUCACGCGGCCACCCUGGGCAGCCUGCUGGCCGCGGGCAUUGGGCCGCAUCUUGGAUCCUCGUCGUCUCCUCUUGGAAAUAUAAACCUGAAGACCUAGCAGGCACCCUCGGGAGGUGUGGACCCUGUUGGCUCCAGCCUGGCAGUGGACACCACCUCCUCUGCUUCUGGGGUCAUCUUCAUGACCACCGGGUGACCCCCACAUUCCUAAGGGGGGCAGUUUCAGGCACUGAGGGCUGAGCAGUAAGGGAUGGGGCCAGCGUGUGAACCAGGCAGGAGGGCUUCCUGGAGGAGGUCUCCCCCUUAGGGACCUGGCAGGAAGCUGGAGGGGAGCCGCUAAGCCCUCCUCUCCCUCCUGAGCAGGCCCAAGGAGAAGGGGUUCCUGUUCUGAGCCGGGAGGCACCACCCUGGCACACCCGGACACUCUUCCUCACUGCCCUGCUCAGCUCCACCAUCCCUUGUCCACAGGGGGCCUUUGCUGACCACCCCUCAGCCCAGCGGGGCUGCAGCCUCGCUCACAGAGCACAUCACACCCCCACCACCAGCUCCACGAGGAUGUGGACUUGCCUGGCCCUGUGGCGCCAGCCCUGAACACACUGGGGCACGUAAUAAGGGUGCCCGUGUUUGUCCCAGACUCAUCACUGAAGAAGCUGCUGCUCAGAGCAGCAGGCUCCCAAGUGACAGAUCUGGCUC
ensembl:lncRNA